GACAAACAUGUAUUGAUCUCUUCCCAUGUGGAGGCCCCUCCAGAAACCAGCAGUGGUGACUGCUACGAGACAGUUGUCACAGCUAACUCUCAUGGAGCCCUUUCUGCAGCCCCGGAGCUGGGCUAAGAGCCUGCUCUCCUUCAUCCUCACAACCACCCUGAGAAGUAGGUACUUUGUGGUCCCUGUUUUAUGAAGGUAAAAACAGGCUCACGGAGGUUAAGCAACUCGCUCAAGGUCACCAAGACAGUAAUCAGUAGAGAUGAUCUCAAAUUAACUGACUGAUUUAAACAUCUGGCUCGUAGCCAUGAUGCUGUUUUGCCCAGGUCUGGCUCCUGCCCCUGUGACUCAUCAAAGACAGCUGAUUGGGGGAAGCAGACCACAGCAGUGGACUCCAAGAGGAUUCUGGGAACAAACUGAGGCCAACUUGCUGUGUGUGCAAAGUUCUGUCCAAAGGGACCUUGGUGGGAGCAGAGAGCCCAGACCACUCAGGUGAACAUGGAAGAAUGGAAGGAACAUCUGCAACACAGAGAUGGCAUGCACUGGACACAAAGUGGAGAGAGGAAUCUAAGUCUGUGCCUCUCUCCUUGGGCUCUGUCUCUGGGCCCUGUCUCUGGGCCUCCCCCUGCACCCUCCCUGCUCAGCCCUGUCAGCCAGGCCCAGGCCCCCAGGACGCGGGAUCCCCAGCAGCCACCGGCACGUGCCAAUCUUCGCCCUGGCGGAGGCGUCUCCAUGGGCCGCGGGCCCCGUGGCGCGCCUCCUGCCCGCGUAAUGCGCUCUAAUAUUUAUUUACAUGCCUUUCAGACUAUUAUUUAUUAAAGUAUCGCUGCCAAC
rnacentral:lncRNA from 1 species